GGUUUUAGUUCAGUGGUAGAGCACUUGCCUGUCACGUAUGAGGCCCUGGGUUUGAUCCUCAGCACCA
rnacentral:tRNA from 1 species